rnacentral:rRNA from 1 species
UACAGAGGGGGCAAGCGUUAUUCGGAAUUAUUGGGCGUAAAGGGCGCGUAGGCGGCCUGACAAGUGGAAGGUGAAAUCCCUCGGCUUAACCGAGGAACUGCCCUCCAAACUGUUUGGCUUGAGUCCGGGAGAGGUGAGUGGAACUGCGAGUGUAGAGGUGAAAUUCGUAGAUAUUCGCAAGAACACCAGUGGCGAAGGCGGCUCACUGGCCCGGUACUGACGCUGAGGUGCGAAAGCGUGGGGAGCAAACAGG